rnacentral:rRNA from 1 species
UGAGGAAUAUUAGUCAAUGGGCGAGAGCCUGAACCAGCCAAGUCGCGUGAAGGAAGAAGGAUCUAUGGUUUGUAAACUUCUUUUACAGGGGGGUAAAAGAGUGACGCGUCACUUAUUGCAAGUACCCUGUGAAUAAGCAUCGGCUAACUCCGUGCCAGCAGCCGCGGUAAUACGGAGGAUGCGAGCGUUAUCCGGAUUUAUUGGGUUUAAAGGGUGCGUAGGUGGACUGUUUAGUCAGUGGUGAAAUGCUGAUGCUCAACGUUAGCAUUGCCGUUGAAACUGACAGUCUUGAGAGUGAUUAAGGCAGGCGGAAUGUGUGGUGUAGCGGUGAAAUGCAUAGAUAUCACGCAGAACUCCAAUUGCGAAGGCAGCUUGCCAAGCCACAACUGACACUGAAGCACGAAAGCGUGGGGAUCAAACA